rnacentral:lncRNA from 10 species
CAUAGAACCUCUUGGAACCCCAGUUUCCACAUCUGGAAGAAGGGGCAGAAUAGUAUCAAAAAUGCUUCACUCCCAGGAAUGUGGUGAGCAUAAAAUUAAAUAAUGAAAAAGUCAACUAUAAAGCACUAAAUAAAUAUAAGAUGGUGAAUCUGACAGAGGAAGAAUUAAAUGACUUGUUCAAGGUCACCUUUGAGGAAUUUGCAGGAAGUUUAACUUAUGUAUAUUUUUCCCCUGUAGUACCCCAGGGGCCUAAUGACAGGAAAACAAAUGAAGUGGAUCCCCAUCUUCCACCCUUGCCUCCGCUAAGCCAUCAGAGGACAAGUUUCCCACCCCACUCUCUCCAAUUUCACUUGAAAAAUAAAACAGGCCUCCAGCUGUGAAAUGGAUUAUGCUCUACAACUAUGUACCUGGAAUAGAAGCCAUCAUUCUUCAUGAAGUUUGCUGAGAAUUAUGUAUCGCAGCCUGGCAGCUUCCUGUUCCCUCGUUAGCCUGCAUAUCCCACUUAACGAAAGAUUCGCCAUGCACUGACUUGUAUGUGACUCACAGUGUGCACAGUAUGCACUGACUGUGACCUGUCCCCAAAUGAACACAGUACCAGUCUAACGUACCACCUUACCUAUGGCUCUCUCCCAUACACACCCAAUCCACUGCAGGCAAAUGAUCUACCCACAAUCUCCCAAACACAGUCUUCACUGUCUGGUCACUGCUCCUUUACACGUGGCAUUCACUCUGCUUGCAGAGG